AUAGUAACUCAUUCGGCUUCCAUAACCCCAACUAAGAGAUUUAGUUACCCAUGAAUGCGAAGGAUAUCACGUUUUGCAUGGUGGAUGGCGUGAAUAGUAGGUGUUUGGCGUGUGGUUUUAGUGAUUCCGUAGCAAGUAACGAUUCUCUUGUUGUGGAAUUUAAGAGUAGAAGAAUGAAGAAUUGAGAAUGGGUUGUAGGAAGAUGUCUUAAUUGUAAGGAGAUGAAUGAAUUGUCAGAAUGUCUCCCUUCUUGAAAAUCUCUAACAUGAUAGGGUAUUUAUAAUACUCCUAUCCUACUCCUACUAAACUAAUAAAAUAAAUAACCAAAUCCUAAUAUACUAAUGAAAUCCUUGACCCAAUUGUACUAGGGUAAGGUUACAAAAUUAUAAUCCAAAUAGAAUGAUGAAACACAUAACCUAAUUGCACUAGGUUAAUGUAUUAUGGCAAAAAUCCAGCUUUGUGUCUGUAAGUCCCAAAGUCUUCAGAAAUGCUGUUUUAGCCCGGGACAGAUUUUCCAUGCAGCAGAUUUAGUCCUUUAUGCGUCCAGCUCCUUUCCAUCUCGUUUGUGAGCUUUCUUUUGCGUCAAGUAAGCCAUAAAUUGCUGUAUUUUGCAUCAUUUAUACCUGAAACUUUCCUAAUCACAUUUGUUAGCUCAUUUACAGGAAAAAGGACUAAAAGUGUACGAAAUAGAUAAUUAGUUCUCGAAACUAGGCUAAAAUAUGGGCAAAAUAUAUUGAUAUAGGCGCGUAAUUUCGCCUAUCAUCAACACCCCACACUUAGAGCUUUGUUCGUCCUCGAACAACAUAUCAUGUCCUUCUAAGCAUUGACUUAAGGUUUUUACAGAAACAACACAAAACAUUCUUCAAGACAAGCACAACAAUUAUCAACGAAGAGUAGCUUUCCGAUUAUAAGUAGAAACAAUUUAACCUCAAGCAUAGACUCGUGAUGGUGAUCAACUCGCAUGCAAACGUUUAAGGUACAUAGAAUCAUAUACAACUAUCCAAAACUCAUCAACCAUGUGUGUCUCACAAUAUAGUACCCAUAAUCACUCACAAGUAUAGCAUAUUUUUCAAACAUGGGCAGCAAAGUAUCCUUGCGCUCACUCUCACAAAGAAUUCAUAUGUAGCAGCUAAUGACCAUAGGCUUGCCCUUAAUGUAGUACUCCACUAAAUGUCGGAAUGUUAAGGUUAGGAUCAAGUAGGUCUUUUGAUGGUUGUAAUGUAGGCUAAGGGACGGGUAGGAUCAACUAUUUUGGCCAGAAAUAGUGACUAAGUUCCUAAGCACUUUAAUACAUCACAUUGUAUUAUUGACACUUUUUUUGUAGCACCCUUGUUCUCCUCUUUUGUUUUUCAAUUUUAAAGCACAACUCACUUUUCAGCUUUCUUUUCCUUUUUCUUCUCACAACAUACCUCUUAUGAUAGCACUUUCUUUUUCAUAACAUAUUCAAGCACCAUUACAAUUUAAAGCAUCAUACUCAACCAAUUUCCUCUUAUGUUGUCACAUGACUUUUUUACUUUAAAGCACUUAGGAAUUUGGAUCAAAUUACGGUCUUGAAAAAAAAUGAAUUAGGCUUACAUACAAGGUUGUCAAAGAAAUAGGCUAAAGGCUCAAAAGGGUUUAACUAGGAUGAUGUCCAUGGGUAGGUAAAACUGAAGGUAAACAAAUAUAGGUUGCCAAAGAAAUGCCUAAAUCAUAUCCUAAACUUACACUCCUUAUUUUCGCUUUGCAUACAUACCAGGCAAGUUCUAGCAUCAGCCACAUACAUAGAAUAUACUAUUAUCUCACACACACAAGGCACAUGGUCGACUUGAUUGGUAGCAAUAUAGACUCUCAACCCAACAAGUGAAGGAAUUGAAUCACACACUAUCACAUAAUGAGUCACAACUAGAGCCUAAAUGUCUCAAUAGUCACAAUUGUAAUACAUACUAUUGUUAUAAUCUCAUGCUGCCUAUUAAAAUAAUUUCAUGCGAGGCUAGAAAAAUUUUAACUACUAAAAACUAAAAAAAAACGUCACACGAAAAAAAUCACAAAAAAAAUCGGACUCAAAACAAAAUAAAUAAAACAAAAUAAACAAGCAAACAUACAAAUAUAGCAUGCAGAUUCUGCCGACACCCCACACUUAGACUAGACACUGCCCUCAGUGGAAAAUAAAGUCGAAGAACCUGAUUAGUCGGACUCUUCCUCAAUGUCAUACCCCCUUCGUUCGAGUCAUCGUAAGAGUCAUCGUCAGAGUUCUCCUCAGCAUCAGAAUCAGGCAAGCGUCUAUCAUCAUCAGUUGGCACGUCAUCAUCAAGAGGUUCCUCGAAAUAUACUCCCACUCCACACAUCUCCCGGGCAUGUCUGUUCAUUGGGUAGUCGUGGUCCAGCUGUUGGAGCUCUUCAGCAGUUGGAAUACGUCCACCACUCAUCAUAGUGAAUCUCGUCAUGCCAUAGAGAUGACGGAAGAAACUCUCGUCACGAGCAUGUCUCUCCGCAGUGGUAAGGUUGACUCCAUGCGUUGUUUCAGCAUCUUUGACCUUGGUGAGGUCAACCUUCUUUGGGGUAUGUGGGAGUUUGUGGUCAGCUGGUUCCUCUUCUAUAUCCUCCUUCCGCAACAUUGCUGUCAACAAAUUGCCGAAUGUGAAAUAGGACCUGCUGUGGAGUCUGGCUUUCCUCAUGGUGGAUCGAAUGAUUGCCCCAAAGUUGAUAGGGACAUUCGUCAUUAAUGAAUAAACCAGGCACACUCUAUCUCUCGAUAUCUUUGUGUAUUGCGUCCCAGGAAUGAGGCAUGAGUUGACAAUGCGCAUCCAGAUUCUUGCUUCCCUAUUUAGUGGAGCAUAGGGGAAUGUGUUGUGACGGCCUGUUUCCUUAUGUCUGCCCCAUCUCGCCAUCGAUCUGCUUCCACAAAGCGUGUGUCUUAUAGCUCUGUAAGGAGGUCUGCUGUACAGCUCUUUGUAUGGUGCAGUGUCGACCGAAGGUAGGCCUAGAAACGAGUUGAUCCAAUCCGCUGUAAGCUGUAACACUUGGCCCCGAAUUUUGACUUCGUUGCCUGUUGUGUUUGGCGACCAGUUGGCAUAAAACUCUCUUGUCAAGUCAAGAUUGCACUCUCCCAUGUCACGGAAGAUGAAAUCCAGCUUCAAAGCCAUAAUCUUAGCCAACAUUUGCGGCUCCUUCUUUGCUAAGGUCUCCUUAUUGAUUAAGUCGACGUGCACAUAUUUCUUUUCUUUGUUGCUGCUGUACCAUGCCUUGGCUUCUUCCUCAAGAACCCAUUUGAUUCCGAACAUUCUGCGUGGUAGGUGUGCGGAAGAUGAUUCGCCUUGGUCUUUUCGGCUUCUCUUUUUGUCCUUGCGGGUUGUGGUAGCCUUCUCCUUGCCUUGCCUUGCUUUCGGUGCCAUUGUACCUGAGACUAGAAAUAAUGUUAGAUGCGGCACAAUCGCACUUUAGACAAUUCUAUAUGCAAGCAUUAGGGGUACCACCCCACACUUAAUCUUGUUAGCAAAAAUCAGUGAAGUGAAAGUGGUCGAGUACUCAGACUUCGUCGACAUACGUCCUCGGAUUGUAUUCCGACAAGAAAAUCAGCAUGACAUCACUUAUGAACAGCCAUUUGGACGUCUUUCAUGGUGCAUAUAGCGAUACUAUAACAUAGGAGUUACCACAUGGAAUUGCUAUUCGAACAACCAACACUACCUCCUACGUGGAUAGUCACUAUAACCGUAUCCCGAUGGCCGGGGUGGUGAAUCAUGCAAGCAUCCAAACAACACUUUCAAGCAAUAUUCAUAGCCAUAUAUGUUCAGCAAGUAUCAUAACAAUGCCAUUGAAACAAAAUUCAAGUCGGAAACAAGUCAAGAAUUGCAUUCGUAUUCAUUCAAUCAUACGAUUUUUGCAACAAUUAUCCAAGCACAUGAACAUCACCACUAAUCUCACGUGAUUUAGCAUUUAAUAAUAAGCAUAGUAAAGUAGUACUCAUGAUAAAUAGAUGAAGAAUAAGAGAGCACUUACUUGCUUGAAGAUUGUGGAGAAGUUGUUGUGGAUUGGAAGAACAAAGGAAGAAAAAUUUGAGAGGAUUUGGGAUGAUAUGCGGCGCCUUUAGGGUUGAUUCUAAUGUGUUUGUGAAAUAAAAACAAGUCCCCUUUAUAUAGGAGGAGUAUGGGUCGGGUUAUGACCCAUUUACAAUCGGAUUUGGGGACAAAAUCACCCUAUAUGCGGCGCAUAUCCCUCGGCAUAUCACAUGUAUAUGCGGCGCAUUGUCCAUGGCAUAAUGGGACAUAGGCGGCGCAUAGUCAAAAGCACACCUAGGAAUAGGCGGCGCAUAGGGUAUAGCACACUAGAUUCCGAGUCCUUAGGCUAUAGAAUAGGUUGUGCAUCGUUCGUGGCCUAUUUUUACCAAGGCCUAGCCUUCCUCGAAGCCUAUUAUGACGUGAGAAAGGCUCAAUUCAUAGCCUUAUGCAUCACCAUUCCUAACUUACCGCCUUUACCAUACGACGCGACCAAAUCGUCAAUUGAAAUCAAUCUCCUCGUUGCAUACUUCUUACACCUAUAUUUGCUCAAACAAAUGAAAACGAUUAGUACGAUGGGUUGCCUCCCACCAAGCGCCUUAGUUUUGGUCGUGGCACGACUCUUAUUUUUGGAUUUUCAUUUAUCAAAAAGAAAAAAUACUAAAACGACAAAACGAUAAAACAAUAAAACGAAGGGUUGCCUCCCAUCUAGCGCCUUAUUUAUUGUCGUGGCUCGACGUAGUAAUCUCGAGUACUUAGACUUCGUCGAGAUAAGUGAUGGCCAUGUCAUUUAUCGAGUCAAGAGGACCGAUAUAUGGCUUAACACGUUGGCCAUUCACCUUGAAGAUAACACCCUCAUUAUUUUCCAAUUCGACUACUCCAAACGAGUAGACGUGGGUGACUUUAAAUGGACCAGACCACUUUGAUUUUAACUUACCUGGGAAGAGCUUGAAUCUGGAGUUAAAGAGUAGCACCAUGUCACCUUUUUGGAAGUGUCGUCGAACAAUCCGCUGAUCGUGAUACUUCUUCAUCCGCUCCUUGUAUAAAUCUGAUCUUUCAUAAGCAUGGAGACGGAAUUCAUCUAGCUCGUUCAGCUGCUCCAACCUCAGGUUCUUCACAUCAUCCCAAUUCAGAUUCAAGUGCUUCAAUGCCCAUAAUGCCUUGUAUUCAAGCUCGAUGGGUAGAUGACAAGCCUUCCCAUAAACUAGCUGAUAAGGUGACAUGCCAAUGGGUGUCUUGAAUGCAGUCCUAUACGCCCAUAGUGCAUCAUCUAGCUUCCGAGACCAAUCCUUCCGAUUCGCAUUGACCGUCUUGGCAAGGAUUUGCUUGAUCUCCCGAUUGGAAACCUCUACUUGUCCACUAGUUUGGGGAUGAUAAGGCGUAGCUACCUUGUGUUGCUUGACUCCAUACUUGGCCAAUACAGAUUUGAAUAGCUUGUUGCAGAAGUGAGAUCCUCCAUCACUUAUGAUAGUACGAGGUACCCCAAAGCGAGAGAAGAUAUUCUUCUUUAAAAACGCUACAACACGCUUUCCUUCAUUAUCGGCCAAUGCUACAGCUUCAACCCAUUUCGACACAUAAUCCACAGCAACCAAGAUGUACUUCAUUCCAAACGAAUUUACGAAUGGUCCCAUGAAAUCAAUACCCCAUACAUCAAAGAGUUCUACCUCCAGGAUUGUGGACAUGGGCAUUUCAUGGUGUUUUGAAAUAACACCUUGACGUUGGCAUUGGUCACACCUUCUCACAUAGUCGUGUGCAUCUCUGAAUAUUGUAGGCCAAUAAUAACCACUUUGCAAGACUUUUCUUGCUGUUCGAUUACCCGCAUGAUGUCCUCCAACUUGCGAAGUGUGGCAUGCUUCUAAUAUAGUGGGCACUUCGUCAUGGGAUAUACAUCGUCGAAUGAUACCAUCCGCACAUCUUCGAAACAAAUAAGGCUCAUCCCAAUAAUAGUGCUGAACGUCAUGCAUAAACUUCCUCCUCUGGUGGUAAGAUAAAUUUGUAGGUAACACAUUACUCACCACGAAAUUCGCAAAGUCGGCAUACCAUGGUAAGUCUUCUAUUGUUGUCGCUAAUAUCUCCUCGUCAGGGAAUGCAUCGCCAAUCUGAUUUUCUGAUUGCGCCACAUACUCAUUCUCAAGUCUAGAUAGGUGAUCAGCCACUUGGUUCUCGCAACCUCUUCUAUCUUUGACUUCGAAAUCAAACUCUUGCAGCAGCAACACCCAUCGAAUCAGCCUUGGUUUUGCAUCCUUCUUUGUCAUUAGAUACCUAAGAGCUGCAUGGUCUGUAUGAACGAUCACUUUAGUACCUAAUAGGUAGGCGCGGAACUUCUCAAACGCAUACACAACCGCUAAUAGCUCUUGUUCAGUGACGGUGUAGUUCCUUUGGGCUUCAUUGAGGACCUUACUCGCAUAGUAGAUAGGAUGAAAUAAUUUCUCCUUUCUCUGUCCAAGAACAGCACCAACGGCUACACCACUAGCAUCACACAUGACUUCGAACGGGAGCGUCCAAUCUGGUGUUACCAUGAUAGGGGCUUCAACGAGUUUUUCUUUAAGGCAUUCAAAUGCCUUUAAGCAAUCAUCAUUAAAGUCAAACUUCGCAUCUUUCUCCAAUAGCUUGCAUAAUGGACUAGAAAUUUUGGAGAAGUCUUUGAUGAAUCUACGAUAAAACCCAGCAUGGCCAAGAAAACUACGAACUCCCUUCACCGAAAUUGGAGGUGGUAGCUUCUCAAUUACCUCUAUUUUGGCGCGAUCAACCUCUAUUCCUUUUUCGGAGAUCUUGUGCCCAAGAACAAUUCCUUCUUUUACCAUGAAGUGGCACUUCUCCCAAUUCAGCACAAGGUUGAACUCUACACAUCUUUGUAAUGCCAUGCUUAAAUUCACCAAACAUGCUUCGAAAGACUCCCCAACAACUGAAAAGUCGUCCAUAAAUACCUCCAAAGUGUCUUCUACCAUAUCAGAGAAAAUAGACAUCAUACAUCGCUGAAAGGUGGCUGGUGCAUUACAUAACCCGAAUGGCAUACGUUUGAAGGCAAACGUACCAUAUGGGCAUGUAAACGUUGUCUUCUCUUGGUCUUCUGGUGCAAUAAAAAUCUGAUUAUAACCUGAAUAACCAUCAAGAAAGCAAAACCAUCCUUUUCCCGCUAAUCGAUCUAGCAUUUGGUCCAUAAAUGGCAUGGGGAAGUGAUCCUUGAGAGUCCAAGAAUUCAGCUUGCGGUAGUCCAUGCAUACUCUCCAUCCAGUGACGGGCCUGAGUGGAAUAAGCUCAUUCUUUGCAUUCGCAACCACCGUCAUACCUCCUUUCUUGGGAACACAUUGUACUGGGCUUACCCAUGUACUAUCAGAAAUAGGAUACACAACUCCUGCGUCUAACCACUUGAUAAUCUCCUUCUUCACCACCUCUUGCAUUGGUGGGUUUAGACGUCUUUGGUGUUCGAUGGUGGGUGUGCACUUUUCUUGGAGCUGAAUUUUAUGAGUGCAAAUUCCAGGUGGAAUACCAAGGAUAUCCGCAAUGGUCCAUCCAAUAGCUCUAAUAUACUUGCGUAAAAUUGCAAUAAGAGCUGCAACUUGUUGCUCACCUAAAUCGGCUGCCACUAUGACUGGAAGAGUGUUUCCGCUUCCUAAGAAUGCAUACUUCAAAUGGCUUGGCAGCUCCUUUAAUUCUAAUGUGGGUGGUUCUUCAAUAGAUGGCUUAGCUGGUGGUGUGGGUCGAUUCUUGAGAUCAAUAUCCAGCUUCUUAGGAGGAUAGCGAUAUGCUCCUAAUCCCGAUAGAGCACAAAUAUCAUCUUCAGAAAUUUCAGCAUCAUCAUCAUCUUCUUCCAUGAGCAAAACCUCCAAAGGAUCAUCAAGAAUUUGUUCUUCAGCAAGUAACUCAUCCUCGUCAUCAACGACAACAUCAGUCACAGAAAAUACACUUAGAUCUUUGGGUUGCUUCAUUGAUUUGCAAACAUCAAAGCGCACCACUUCAUCAUUUAUUCGGAAUGAAAGUUCAUUAGCUCUCAAAUCUAUGAGCACACUUCCCGUAGCAAGGAAAGGGCGUCCCAAGAUUAUGGGAACCUCUGAAUCUGCUUCGCAAUCCAAGAUGACAAAGUCUGCUGGAAAUAUGAAUGAAGAUACCUUCACCAAGACAUCGCAUAGAAUACCAACCGGUCGUUUUACCGACCUAUCCGCCAUAACAAGCUUCAUAUUAGUUGGUGUAGGAUCUCCCAACCCCAACUUCUUGUAGAUUGAUAAUGGCAUCAAGUUGAUGCUGGCUCCUAAGUCACAUAAUGCUUUAGCAAAGUCCAAAGAUCCGACGGUGCAAGGAAUAGUGAAAGCUCCGGGGUCGGCCUUCUUCUGAACUAUGGAUCGGGUAGCUAUUGCACUACAAUGAUGCACAUCUUCUUUCAGCUCAUAGCUUGCUGCCCUCUUCUUAGUCAAAAGAUCUUUCAUAAACUUCGCAUACCCAGGCAUUUGUUCAAGUGCCUCUACCAAUGGGACAUUAAUAGUCAGCUGCUUCAAGAUGGUCAUGAACUUGCUGAACUUAGUGUCAUCGGCCGCCUUCUUCAGUCUUUGUGGAAAAGGUGGUGGUGGGUAUGGAAGUGUUCUUUCCAUGGCUUUCUUCUCCUCUUGCUUCCGUUUAUUACUUUUUUCAGGCUGCACGUCACUAGGCAACACGUCCUUGACGUUGGAAGUGGAUAUUGCGGCGUCUUCCCUAGUGGCGUCACUAGGUGUGGCGGUUGUGUCUGCUGUUCUGUCAACUAUUUGCUUGCCUUCUGCUGAAGUUUCCAGCACCUUACCACUCCUCGUAGUGAUGGCCAUGCAUGACCCAUCAGUCCUUGGAUUUUGCACCGUAUCGCUAGGCAAGGUGCCGGCUUUUCUUUGGUUGAGUGUUGCUGAAAGUUGACUGAAUUGCUGCUCUAGUUGCUUGAUAGAAGUGGAAUGAGAAUCAACUAAUUGCUUCAUGGAGGCCAAAUCGUCAAUCACCUCCUUAACUCCCGCAUUCGUCGCUUCCACUCCUUUCAAUAACUUAGCCAUCAUGUCUUCCAUAGAAUUAGAUGUGGUGGUAUCACGUCUACCAGGGGGAACGUACAAACCACUGUUUUCAUUAUUUUUCUUCCAACUACCUUGGUCUUUACCUCCAGAUUUGUCAUAAUAGUUCCGACCUUGGUUUCCUUGGGCAUUCCCACGGAAACCCCCCUGAUUGUUCAAGUAGUUGGCCUCCUCUUCUGAAUCAGAUUCGUCUCUUCCUUUUGACGCAAUAGAUUUCACUUUUUCAGUCUUCCCUAAUAGAUGCUUUGUAAGAAGAUCCAUUUGGGUUUUCAUGUGCGCCAUAUCUUGAUCACGUUCUUCUUCUCUCCUUCUUUGAUCUGCAGACAUGCCAAUAGAUAAAGUGGGGCUUGCUACCUCAGAAUCCCUGGUAUGCCAAGCUCUACUUUGUUUCGUCAUACGAUCUAGCAUGUUGCUUGCUUGACCAAAGGUGAGGUCCAUAAAAGAACCUCCAGCUGCGUUGUCCACCACUGGUUUAGUUACUGAAUUCAAGGCUCUAUAUAAGAUCUCCAUGAGGUGAACAUUAGUCAUGUGAUGGUUUGGGCAUCUCGCUAGCUUUGUCUUGAACCUCUCCCAUGUUUCGUGAAGAGCUUCAGAGGGAAGCUGACGAAAGUUGCUGAUUUCAUCUCUCAAUUGAGCCCUCUUGGAUGGCGGAAAGAAUCUUUCUAGGAAAGCGUCUCUCAAUUGCCUCCAAUUUGUAAUAGAAUCAGGAGUCAGCCCAUUCAACCAUAAUGUUGCCUCCCCAGACAGAGACAAUGGAAAUAGACGUAAUCGAAUAGCAUUCUGACCAACUCCAGGAUUGUCAAAAGACUUGCAUGUAGAAAUAAAGUUGAUGAGAUGCAUAUUCGGAUCAUCGCCUGCUAGUCCACCAAAUAAUCCCUUGAGUUGCAAUAACUGAAUCAUGGUGCUAGUGAUGUUGAACUUGGCUCCGGGCGCUAAUGGUGGUGGAAUUAUAGCUCCAGUGGCUCCGGCACCAUCAAGAUCAUCAUCAUCAUCGUCGAAAGCUGGUUGCAAAGGUUGGCGAUCAUAUCUGUACCGAGCUUGUCGACCUCGUCUGUUGGUAGGUGUUGCCAUUUCAGCGCCAUGCCUUGGGUUGAUCAACUCGUCAUCUCCUAAAUCUUCAUCGUCAGGAUUUGUUGCUCGUCCAGGAUUAUCAAUGUUUUGUUGUUGGACUUGAGCAGCGGCAAGAGCAGCUAAUCUUGCUUGCUCAUGUUGAGCAGCCAUCCUGUCGAUUUCCGCUUGUGCUUCCAUUCUUCUGAUUCGUUGUGGUUCCGGAUUGAUUGGUAAUAACGGUUGACCAGAACUUCUAGUAUGGGGCAUGCACUAAAAGAAAAACCUGCAAUAAACAAAAACAAAAACUAAACGUAAAAGUACGAGAAUCUUUGACCAAAGGGUCUAGUAAUUUUCACGAACUUGAUUGACACUCGUAUUCCCCGGCAACGGCGCCAAUUUUUGAUAACGCUCAAUCUACAGCUCUCGUGGGAGUGUAAAGCGGUCGUUAGCAAAUAUAGAACCCAACCUGGGUUGGGUAUCGAUCCCACAGAGAAUAGCUUGGCCAACAAGCAAGAGAAAUUACUAGACUUUUAGUGCAAGUCUCGUAGGAAAGGGGGGAUUGUAGUAUGUAACCAAAACAAGAAUGUAAGAACUGAAAAUAGCAAAAUAAAGAGAGAUUGUCACGUGUGUUGUAAACAAUGAGAAUUGAGGCGUUGGGGUUAUGUCCACCUUCUGAGGUAUACGUCUCUAUUGGCUAUGAGUGUGUAGAGUCUUGACAUGUAAUUGCUUAUAGAGAAUUGUAGUCGAUGGUAAAUCCAAGCGUCUCUCGACCUAAACAAGGACUAUUUCACUUUAACUCUCUCGAGCUUAAAGCGUGACUAACGGUACGAAUUCUCCAAGAAGUUAGUCCAGGUACGGCACUAGCUUUUUAAUAGGAAAGGGUGUCCUACUACCUUGACAUUAUCUCUUUUCCAGACAAAUAACUUUUCUCUCGAACAAGUCAGAUGUUAGACUGGCGUUGGUCUAUGCGUCUUCUUUUCUAGACAAAUAACCUUUCUCUCGAACAGGUUAGAUGUUAGAAUGGCGUGUUCUUGUGUUUGAACCGCAAAGAAUGUAGAUUUAAGAUGAAGAGAAUAAUGAUAUAAGCAAUAUACUUGUCUUGAACUCACAAACUCAUAGCUAUAGAUAGUAACUCAUUCGGCUUCCAUAACCCCAACUAAGAGAUUUAGUUACCCAUGAAUGCGAAGGAUAUCACGCUUUGCAUGGUGGAUGGUGUGAAUAGUAGGUGUUUGGCGUGUGGUUUUAGUGAUUCCGUAGCAAGUAACGAUUCUCUUGUUGUGGAAUUUAAGAGUAGAAGAAUGAAGAAUUGAGAAUGGGUUGUAGGAAGAUGUCUUAAUUGUAAGGAGAUGAAUGAAUUGUCAGAAUGUCUCCCCCCCCUCUUUAAAAUCUCUAACAUGAUAGGGUAUUUAUAAUACUCCUAUCCUACUCCUACUAAACUAAUAAAAUAAAUAACCAAAUCCUAAUAUACUAAUGAAAUCCUUGACCCAAUUGUACUAGGGUAAGGUUACAAAAUUAUAAUCCAAAUAGAAUGAUGAAACACAUAACCUAAUUGCACUAGGUUAAUGUAUUAUGGCAAAAAUCCAGCUUUGUGUCUGUAAGUCCCAAAGUCUUCAGAAAUGCUGUUUUAGCCCGGGACAGAUUUUCCAUGCAGCAGAUUUAGUCCUUUAUGCGUCCAGCUCCUUUCCAUCUCGUUUGUGAGCUUUCUUUUGCGUCAAGUAAGCCAUAAAUUGCUGUAUUUUGCAUCAUUUAUACCUGAAACUUUCCUAAUCACAUUUGUUAGCUCAUUUACAGGAAAAAGGACUAAAAGUGUACGAAAUAG
rnacentral:lncRNA from 1 species